UCUCUUAGGUGUCCAUGGCUUGAACCAAAAUACAGGAUGUCCCCCAAAACUGUAUACACACUUUACCAGCUGAGAGCUCAAUUUUGAAAAUGAAGUGUAUUUUAAUAAACACUGCCUUCAUAAUUAUUCAAAGUGUGUAUAUACAUUUUUUGGAUACCCUACAUAUAACAAAUA